UGAUGCUGCCAGCCGUGCUAUUGACUAUG
rnacentral:piRNA from 1 species